rnacentral:rRNA from 1 species
UACGGGGGGGGCAAGCGUUGUUCGGAAUUACUGGGCGUAAAGAGCGCGCAGGCGGUCGUUCAAGUCGAGUGUGAAAGCCCCCGGCUCAACUGGGGAGGGUCAUUCGAUACUGAUCGACUCGAAGGCAGGAGAGGGAAGUGGAAUUCCCGGUGUAGUGGUGAAAUGCGUAGAUAUCGGGAGGAACACCAGUGGCGAAGGCGACUUCCUGGCCUGUUCUUGACGCUGAGGCGCGAAAGCUAGGGGAGCAAACGGG